ACCCCGACGAGGGGAGUGAAACAGACCCUGAAACCGGAUGCCUACAAUCAGUGGGAGCCCCUUUAUGGGGUGACCGCGUACCUUUUGUAUAAUGGGUCAUCGACUUGGUCUCACGAGCAAGCUUAAGCCGUUAGGUGUAGGCGCAGCGAAAGCGAGUCUUAAUAGGGCGUCGAGUUCGUGGGAUCAGACCCGAAACCGAGUGAUCUAGGCAUGGCCAGGUUGAAGGUACGGUAACACGUACUGGAGGACCGAACCCACAUCCGUUGAAAAGGAUCGGGAUGAGCUGUGCCUAGGGGUGAAAGGCCAAUCAAACUCGGAGAUAGCUGGUUCUCUGCGAAAUCUAUUUAGGUAGAGCGUCAUCCGUAUACCCUCGGGGGUAGAGCACUGGAUGGGUAAUGGGGCCCCACAGGCUUACUGAUCCUAACCAAACUCCGAAUACCGAGGAGUACUAGAUGGCAGACACACGGCGAAUGCUAACGUCCGUCGUGGAGAGGGAAACAACCCUGACCUACAGCUAAGGCCCCUAAUUCAUGGCUAAGUGGGAAAGCAGGUGAGACGACCAAAACAACCAGGAGGUUGGCUU
rnacentral:rRNA from 14 species